ACACUCUAUGAACUUCGGUGUUCCUUACAGUUAGCGGAAACGGAAAGAGAAGGAGGAUUUUCUCCACACAUUUCUCCUUUCACUGCUGUCAAUGACCUGGGACAUCUGCUUGGGAGAGCUGGCUUUAAUACUCUGACUGUGGGAAAAGCUCUGAUUGGCAAUGUUUAGUUUGUAUAACACAUCUUAAUUGACACAAGGACACUGAUGAAAUUCAAGUUAACUAUCCUGGAAUGUUUGAAUUGAUGGAAGAUUUACAAGAAAAAAAGUCCAGAAUGUUGACCUAAUUUUACAAAACAAGCUGCAUAUCAGCUGAUGAAUGCAUGAGAAAUUUUCAAGGCUUUCACAGUGGUCUUAAGGUAUGGGUGAGAGUAACUGUUCUUGGAAUAGAAAAGCCCUGCUGCAUCGAGACACAAUGCUGGCAGCUGCGGCGGUGUACAGAGAAAUGUACAGAAAUGAAGAUGGUUCAGUACCUGCCACAUAUCAGAUCUAUUACAUGAUAGGAUGGAAAUAUCAUGAGUCACAGGCAAGACCAGCUGAAAGAGGCUCCGCAACUGUGUCAUUUGGAGAGCUAGGAAAAAUAAACAACCUUAUGCCACAGGGGAAUAAAUCACAAUAAAUAUUUAUUCAAUGUUAA
rnacentral:sRNA from 1 species